AUAUCAAUAAGCGGAGGAAAAGAAACCAACAGGGAUUGCCUCAGUAACGGCGAGUGAAGCGGCAACAGCUCAAAUUUGAAAUCUGGCCCUCUCAGGGGUCCGAGUUGUAAUUUGGUAGAGAGAUGCUUCGGGUGUGGCUCCGGUCUAAGUUCCUUGGAACAGGACGUCACUAGAGGGUGAGAAUCCCGUACUGUGACCGGUGGCCGCCUCGCCCAGUGUGAAGCUCCUUUCGACGAGUCGAGUUGUUUGGGAAUGCAGCUCAAAAUGGGUGGUAAAUUUCAUCUAAAGCUAAAUAUUGGCCAGAGACCGAUAGCGCACAAGUAGAGUGAUCGAAAGAUGAAAAGCACUUUGGAAAGAGAGUUAAACAGUAC
rnacentral:rRNA from 1 species